GACGAACGCUGGCGGCGUGCUUAACACAUGCAAGUCGAACGGUAAGGCCCUUCGGGGUACACGAGUGGCGAACGGGUGAGUAACACGUGGGUGAUCUGCCCUGCACUUCGGGAUAAGCCUGGGAAACUGGGUCUAAUACCGGAUAGGACCCUGGGAUGCAUGUCCUGGGGUGGAAAGCUUUUGCGGGGUGGGAUGGGCCCGCGGCCUAUCAGCUUGUGGGUGGGGUGAUGGCCUACCAAGGCGACGACGGGUAGCCGGCCUGAGAGGGUGACCGGCCACACUGGGACUGAGUUACGGCCCAGACUCCUACGGGAGGCAGCAUUGGGGAAUAUUGCACAAUGGGGGCAGGCCUGAUGCAGCGACGCCGCGUGGGGGAUGACGGCCUUCGGGUUGUAACCUCUUUCAGCCCCGACGAAGCGCAAGUGACGGUAGGUGCAGAAGAAGGACCGGCCAACUACGUGCCGCAGCCGCAGUAA
rnacentral:rRNA from 1 species